rnacentral:siRNA from 1 species
AUGGUGAUCACUAGGAACAGCUCA